rnacentral:rRNA from 2 species
AAAUUGAAGAGUUUGAUCAUGGCUCAGAUUGAACGCUGGCGGCAGGCCUAACACAUGCAAGUCGAACGGUAACAGGAAGCAGCUUGCUGCUUCGCUGACGAGUGGCGGACGGGUGAGUAAUGUCUGGGAAACUGCCUGAUGGAGGGGGAUAACUACUGGAAACGGUAGCUAAUACCGCAUAACGUCGCAAGACCAAAGAGGGGGACCUUCGGGCCUCUUGCCAUCGGAUGUGCCCAGAUGGGAUUAGCUUGUUGGUGGGGUAACGGCUCACCAAGGCGACGAUCCCUAGCUGGUCUGAGAGGAUGACCAGCCACACUGGAACUGAGACACGGUCCAGACUCCUACGGGAGGCAGCAGUGGGGAAUAUUGCACAAUGGGCGCAAGCCUGAUGCAGCCAUGCCGCGUGUAUGAAGAAGGCCUUCGGGUUGUAAAGUACUUUCAGCGGGGAGGAAGGGAGUAAAGUUAAUACCUUUGCUCAUUGACGUUACCCGCAGAAGAAGCACCGGCUAACUCCGUGCCAGCAGCCGCGGUA